rnacentral:lncRNA from 1 species
CGGGACAGAUUUGCAUUGACAUUUACUCCCACAUUUAUCACUGUCUUGGCAAGAUUGUGUUCUCCCAGUACAACCAUCCGCAAAGACAAAUGGACUUUCUGGGGGCUUUCUGCUUCAAAAAAUAUAUACAUAUUUCCAUCUUAGUCUAACCAUUUGUCCUUAAGCAAUCACCUCCUCACAACCAAUCAUUCUAAUCUUUCUUCUCUCGCAUCAUUCAAUAUUUCUGAUUUGCACCAUAAUUUUGAGUCCAAAUCUUCAAAAUCUCCAUUUGAAACACCAACAG